rnacentral:tRNA from 1 species
GGCAAGGUGGUCGAGUGGUUAAGACGUAAGACUUGAAUCCACAAUGGAUGUUAUCUUAUCCCUUCGGGGUCGCGCGUUCAAAUCGCGUCCUUGUCG